rnacentral:rRNA from 1 species
AGUGGAGCAAUCCAUGAGUACAGUGGCGACCGGGUGAGUAACACGUGACCAACCUACCCUCGAGUGGGGAAUAACUCCGGGAAACCGGAGCUAAUACCGCAUAACAUCGCAAGAUCAAAGCCGCAAGGCGCUUGAGGAGGGGGUCGCGGCUGAUUAGCUAGUUGGUAGGGUAAUGGCCUACCAAGGCGAAGAUCGGUAGCCGGCCUGAGAGGGCGCACGGCCACACUGGAACUGAAACACGGUCCAGACUCCUACGGGAGGCAGCAGUGGUGAAUUUUGCGCAAUGGGGGAAACCCUGACGCAGCAACGCCGCGUGGAGGAUGAAGUCCCUUGGGACGUAAACUCCUUUCGACCGGGACGAUACUGACGGUACCGGAAGAAGAAGCACCGGCUAACUCUGUGCCAGCAGCCGCGGUAAUACAGAGGGUGCGAGCGUUGUUCGGAAUUAUUGGGCGUAAAGGGCGCGUANGCGGCGCGGUAAGUCACCUGUGAAAUCUCCUGGCUCAACUGGGAGCUUG